rnacentral:rRNA from 1 species
UACGGAGGGUGCAAGCGUUACUCGGAAUCACUGGGCGUAAAGAGCGCGUAGGCGGGAUAGCAAGUCAGAUGUGAAAUCCUAUGGCUUAACCAUAGAACUGCAUUUGAAACUGCCAUGCUGGAGUGCCGGAGAGGUAAGCGGAAUUCCUAGUGUAGCGGUGAAAUGCGUAGAUAUUAGGAGGAACACCGGUGGCGAAGGCGGCUUACUGGACAGAAACUGACACUGAGGCUCGAAAGCGCGGGGAGCAAACAGG